UCAGCCAAGCACGCACAGACAGAAUAUUUUCACUUUCACAAUGUACCUAUAAUAAAUAUGUGUUUAUGUCUACUGUGUUAAAAAUAAAUAAAUACAGACAGACGGAUGGAUGAACUCCAACACCCAGAAGCCGUGAACUAAAGGGCACUCAUCAGGGAAAAAGACAAAAAAUCUCAAUGUCAUGGCAGUUCCUCGCAGCCACAAAAAUCGUUCGAGCAUCCCAGAGCCGAAUCCAAAAGGGGAACCAAGAUGAGCAGCGUUCUCAAUGCCGGAACGGCACCUCAAUACCCGCAUAUACGACGUGCAUACUCUGAUGAGCACGCAGCGGCGGGGGCAGGUCGUUCCAACAUCGAGAUGCCGCAAAUCUAAACGAGCCUCGAAAUGCCGCCGUGCGAUGCCUCGGCGUUAGGAAGACGUGAGUAAUCACUCUUCUCUCAUGCUCAUUUCGGCUUGGGGCCUGGACUAGCUUGUCAAAGAGAUACAUCGGCCGUCCUGUGUUAACAACGCCAAACAACAGUGUCGCUAAGUGCAACCUUCUACGGGCCUCCAUCUUCAACAGAUUGCCAGUAAUUAGAAAUGGUGUUACAUGAGCUCGAGGUGGGAUGUGGAAGCAGAAACGGGCACAUGCAUUCUGCACUCGUUGCAACAAUUUUGCUGAACUUGCCAAUAGACAUGGCCCACGGUGUCGCAAUAGUUCAGCUUAGACAAGACAAGUGCCUCACAAAGGUUUAUCCUUAGUUUUUCACACAAAUAUGGUCUUAUUCUGUACAGGAGCUUCAACCUAUAGAAACAAUUCCUUGCACACUCAGUUAUAUGUUUUUCGAAUUUGAGAUGACUGUCAAGCACCAUACCCAAGUUCCUAGCAUUCUCAACCCUCUCUAUUGACUCCCCGUUUAAGGUGACACAUAAACCGUUGAUCUUAGCUAUGUUUUUAGGUGUCCCUAUUAGCAUGAGCUUAGACUUUUUUGGAUUUACGGUAAGGCAGUUGUCAGAGCACCAGGUAGAUACGCUAAGUAAGUCCUUGUUUAUCAAAGCCAUAGCUCCGCCCUGAUCACAAGCAAAAAAUGAAAGGUACAACUGUAAGUCAUCAGCAUACAAGUGAUAACGACAUUGUGCAAUAUGUCCUAUGAUAUCAGCACUGUACAAAAUGUAGAGGAUCGGCCCCAAGAUCGAGCCUUGUGGGACCCCACGAUUCACUGGUAGAGAUUGUGAACGAAGUUUUUUACCGUUGCUCAGCCUCAGCUCCACAUACUGACUCCGUCCAUGCAGAUAACUGUGGAACCAUUUGAUAGCGCUUUGUUCAAGACCAUAGAAUCUGAGUUUCGACAGCAGCAGCGACGUGUUAAUUGAGUCGAAUGCUCGUGAGAAGUCAAGGAGAAGCAACGCAGAUGUAGUGUGUACGCAUCCUUUCCCCAUAUUAGGCAAACCACUAGUAUAUAAGCUUAGGAUAAUCUUCAUUCUUACGAAUAAACCUACAGUGCGCACA